CCUACGGGAGGCAGCAGUGGGGAAUUUUCCGCAAUGGGCGAAAGCCUGACGGAGCAAUACCGCGUGAGGGAGGAAGGCUCUUGGGUCGUAAACCUCUUUUCUCAGGGAAGAACAAAAUGACGGUACCUGAGGAAUAAGCAUCGGCUAACUCCGUGCCAGCAGCCGCGGUAAUACGGAGGAUGCAAGCGUUAUCCGGAAUGAUUGGGCGUAAAGCGUCCGCAGGUGGCAGUGUAAGUCUGCUGUCAAAGGUCAGGGCUUAACUCUGAACAGGCAGUGGAAACUACACAGCUAGAGUGCGGUGGGGGCAGAGGGAAUUCCCAGUGUAGCGGUGAAAUGCGUAGAGAUUGGGAAGAACACCGGUGGCGAAAGCGCUCUGCUAGGCCGUAACUGACACUCAUGG
rnacentral:rRNA from 1 species